CUGCCCGCCUUAGCUGCCCAAAGUACUGGCAUUACAGGUGUGAGCCACCACACUAGAUAUUUUGUAAUAUCAUUACUUUUCAGCUCCCAUUUUCCGAGAGCCUGCUAGGUCCUACACAGAGUCCGGGGGGCGCAUUUCGCAUAUAGCAGCUCUAAUCAUCACGGAAGCCCUGCCAGGUGGGUAUGUACUUUGCUGAGCUGGAAGCAGGCUCUGGGAAGCUCAGUAACCUCCCCAAGGUGACCUGCCUGAGUGGCCAAGCAUAAAAGAAACUGGGUCUGCUGAGCUCUCACCUCCACUCUGCCUCUGCACUCCACCCCUCCCUUGUCAGACCACUCUGACCUGGGAGGCAGCUCGAGGUUUCCAGCAGAGCAGGGGUAGGGCGGGAAUAGAGGAGUGUGUGUGUCUGUGUGUGUGUGUGUGUGAGUGUGUGUGUGUGUGUGAGAGAGAGUGUGAGAAAGUGUGUGUGUGUGAGAGUGUGUGUGUGUGUCCUACAUGUGUAUACCAAUGUCUCACUGCUUUUUAUCACUCAGUCUGGUUUUCAUUUCUUUAGGGAAGAGGAUGGGGCAUGAAAGACCAGUGGAAGAAAUGGGAAUUCCUCAGGCUGAGGGAAUAAAAGGUCAUACUGUUAACUGCUCACUCUGCUGCCUCGAGGCUGGACUUUCAGACAUCCUACUUCUCAGCCCGGGAUUCUCUGUGCUGGACUCCACUUCUCACAUCUACAGGCCCUUUUGGGUGGUUGAUGAAGGACCUGGAAGCUGAUUUCCUAAGAGUGAAUAACUUGGUGCCCUGAAGCUGACCCCUCAUCCACUAUAAACUGUCGAUGCUGGGUUGGUAUAGUGCCUUUGGAAAGCAGUAAAGCAAUUACCAGCAAAAGGCAUGAAGCUCUUCCUCCCCCUUUGACCCAGUAAUCUCUUUCCCUGGGAAAUUAUUCCAAGGAAAUUAUCCAAACGAAGCCAAGUGUUAUCUGCAUACAUGUGUGCAUUGAAGUCUUUCUUUAAAGGUCAAAAACUGGGAACCACAAUAAGGAAGUGGUUUAAUAAACUGGGACAUCAACACAAUGGACAAUCAGGCCUGGAAAUCCACAGCUGUGUGACUGUGAUGGGGAAUGGAAACAUGGAGAAUGCUUCUACUACACAGUGUAUCACCACUACACUCCCACCUAACUAGCUAAUUCAACAAAUCACGCUUGUCAAGGAGAGAGAAGUCUCUCUGUUCAUGUUCAAAAUAAACUCAGCCUCUGACACCACAAAGGAACAGAAGAGAAGCUUAAAUGCAACAAACACAAUAAGCUCAAUAAUUCUUGGCUUUUGAGUUUCCAAGGCCACAGGUCCUGAUGAUGUAUGACAUUUUCUGAGAGUGAUUUUGAUGAUUGGUUAUUGAUGAUUUUCACCUUUCACACUGUACUUGUUAUUAAGCCAUCUAAUUCAUCAUAUUAAAUUUUGUUAAGAUAC
rnacentral:lncRNA from 1 species